UAUUAUUUUUUAAAAGCUUUGUUUGUUUUAGGAAGACAGAAUUAGGUUGCUUUCAGGCCCAAAGGAUGUCAGGGAGGUCAACUGGAUUUUCUUCUCUCCCCACAACUAUACCUUGAUCUUCCAAAAGGAGACAAUGCCCUGUCCUGUUUCUCAGUUUAAGCCUAAAGAUAAAAUUCUAAAGUUUCUAAGCAGCUUUUAGUUGUUUGUUUUUCUGAUCUGGAAAGGUGUCCCAGUGCUAACUUCCAUAUUGUUUGUCUGCUAGAGCUAAGAGUUUUUCUUCUAUUUUUCUUUGAUACCACCCCUUUAUGAUCAUGAAGUUUAUUCUUAGAAGUAGUCGGUAUUUCUGAGCCCAGGUAAUACCUACAUGUCCUCAUUUAUUUAACAAGAAAUUGGCCUUGGUCCUUAUUUCAAUUCUUGUUCUAAUAAUCUGCUUAGUGCCCCUCUGUCCCUUCUUAAAACCAGGACCAGUCCUCCAACUGAAGGCAGAGAUAUCAUCCAUGAGGGGCUAUAAUACAUAGUGAAGAUCAGUUUCGCAGAUGCUGUUAGUCUGUCCUCUUGGAUUUCUGUGUUGUUCUCCUUUAUUUCCUGCUUCCUUACCCCUACCAGGAAAAAAAUCCUACUUGUUGGGGUUUUGGUGAUUAGAAUAUUGGGGAUUAUUUUACCCUUGGAUACUAUGUUAGUCAUCAGGGCUGUUCACAAAUAUUCAGGUUCUCUUUCUCAUGACAUGGUAGGAUUACAUUUUCUGCCCUCUUUUUUUCUUUUUUUUUUUUGAGACUGAGUCUUGCACUGUCGCCUGGGCU
rnacentral:lncRNA from 10 species